rnacentral:rRNA from 1 species
AUACGGAGGAUCCGAGCGUUAUCCGGAUUUAUUGGGUUUAAAGGGUGCGCAGGCGGGAGAUUAAGUCGGCGGUGAAAUUUUGCAGCUCAACUGUAAAAGUGCCUUCGAAACUGGUUUCCUUGAGUGUAGAUGAAGUAGGCGGAAUUUGUGGUGUAGCGGUGAAAUGCAUAGAGAUCACGAGGAACUCCGAUUGCGCAGGCAGCUUACUAAACUACUACUGACGCUCAGGCACGAAGGCGUGGGGAUCAAACAGGAUUAGAUACCCUGGUAGUCCACGCAGUAAACGAUGAUUACUAGCUGUUUGCGAUACAAUGUAAGCGGCUGAGCGAAAGCGUUAAGUAAUCCACCUGGGGAGUACGUUCGCAAGAAUGAAACUCAAAUGAAUUGACG